rnacentral:rRNA from 1 species
AACGAACGCUGGCGGCAUGCCUAACACAUGCAAGUCGAACGAGACCUUCGGGUCUAGUGGCGCACGGGUGCGUAACGCGUGGGAACCUGCCCUUAGGUUCGGAAUAACUCCCCGAAAGGGGUGCUAAUACCGGAUAAUGUCUUCGGACCAAAGAUUUAUCGCCUUUGGAUGGGCCCGCGUUGGCUUAGCUAGUUGGUAGUGUAAAAGCCUACCAAGGCGACGCUCCAUAGCUGGUCUGAGAGGAUGAUCAGCCACACUGGGACUGAGACACGGCCCAGACUCCUACGGGAGGCAGCAGUGGGGAAUAUUGGACAAUGGGCGAAAGCCUGAUCCAGCAAUGCCGCGUGAGUGAUGAAGUCCCUAGGGUUGUAAAGCUCUUUUACCCGGGAUGAUAAUGACAGUACCGGGAGAAUAAGCUCCGGCUAACUCCGUG